rnacentral:tRNA from 1 species
GGGCGCUUGGUUUAGUGGUAUAAUUCUCGCUUAGCAUCGCCAAACAGCCUUUCUUGCGCUGUCUGGGUCUCUGUGAGCGGUCCUGGGUUCGAUUCCCAGAGUGUCCA